GCUGGAUCUUUGUAUAUAAAAUAGGGCUGUCUUGAGAUAGAGACCUUGAGGUUUUCUCUGAGAUGUCUGAAGCAAAGUUGUCUAUUAGAAGGUCUCAAUAUUUGAUAUUAGAUAUCAAUAUGUGAUAUUAAUAGCUAUGUGAUAUUAGACAAACCACCUACUUUUUUCAAGCUUCAAUUUUCUCAUUUAUGAGAUGGAGAGAUGAUGAUGCUGUGGUUUGAACAUGUCCUUCAAAACUUCAUAUGUGGGAAAUUUAAUCCUCAAAUUUGUAUGUUAAUGGUAUUUGGAGGUGGGGACUUUGGAAGCCAAUCAGGAUUAGAUGUGAUCCUUAGAGUGAGGCCCUAUGAAGGCAUUAGUGGCUGUAUCAGAAGAGAGAUUCAAGGUAGAACCCUUGCUCUGUCUUCCCAUGCGAUGCAAACUACCAUGUUGUGAUGCAGCAAGAAACCCUCACCAGAGGCCAAGCAGAUGCCAGCUCCAUGCUCUAGGACUUUUUAGCUUCCAGACCAUGGGCCAAAAAACCCUGUAUUCUUUAUAAAUCAUCCAGUGUCAGGUAUUUUGUUAUAGUAACAGAAAACUAAUAAAACUAAAAACUGAUAACGAGGUUGAUCAAAGAUACCCACCUUACAGCGUAUGAAACAAGUAAAAAUAUGAUGAAGUAUUUGAGCAAAAGCUCCCAGGACCACUGAGCAACAUAAAGAUACAAUCUUUUCAUUUGUGUCCAGCACAGGUUCAUUUACAAAGUAAUUUUGAGGGAAUUAAUGGUAAAGUCGGUGGAAGGAAUGAGGAAGGACAUUGACUAGCAUCUGUUCCUGGAUUAAAUGGGAUGUUGGAUGAAGCUCAAAUCUCAAGAAGAGGCAAGACAAGACUAAAGAAGGAGCUAAGAGAAAUCACUCCCGAUCCAUUUAUAUUAUGAGGCCUUAGGGGCAAGAAGGUGGUGGAGAUGCUGUGAGCCUGCCCUGCAUUCUCGUCUGGGCCCCAUAAAAGAGGACGAAUGGAGGGACACCUAGGGGAUGGGCUCGAUUCUGAAGCUGAUGGGUGAGAGAAAGGGCGCUGAAUGGGAAUUCACUUGGGGUACGCAUCACAUCCAAGCGUGCAUUUGGAUAAAGCCUUUACCUCAACAGGCUCUUGUGCCAUCCUUACCAGAUUGGUCUUUUGCUGUGGGUGCUUCACAACAAGGUGAGUUUUGAUUUUCUGUGAGACUUCAUGCUGACAAUAGCUUCUGAGAGGUACUAUUUAGCCACACAUGACCCCUGAGAUUGCUCUGACUCCGUCACCUACAUCUUGUGUGUCUAUGUUUUUAUGUAACUGAUAUCAGAUGUAUAUGCUGUAGAAAUUUUUCUAAAAUUUCUUUACUCAGCUAUCUCUCUUAGAAAUUUUUCUAUAUUUUGGUACCCAUAGAUUUAACUAAGUUUUUAAUAGUGUCAGAGCAUUUUCUAGCACCAUUUACCAUAUCUUUGAAAUUAAAGUUGUUCUGGACAGUGCUUCUGUUAUGGUUUGAAUAUGUUAAGGUCCAUAUGUUAAGGGCUCGGUCCCCAAGGUCUUGGGGUGUUGGAAACUUUGGGAGGUGGGGCCUGGUGGGAGAUCCUUAGGUCACUGGGGAAGUGCUCUCAAGAGGUAUUGUGGGACCACACCUGUACCCCCCUCUCUGCUCUGGCUUGACAUGUGACCACUUGCUUCUAUCAACACGCCUGCCAUGCUGUGCCACCAUCUCCUGCUUUCACUAGAGGUCAAACAAAAAGGGCUGCCUGAUCUUAGACUUCAGAACUUGGAAACUGUAAGCUAAAUAAAACUUUUCUUUUUACAAAA